rnacentral:rRNA from 1 species
UGGGGGAUAUUGCACAAUGGGCGAAAGCCUGCUGCAGCGACGCCGCGUGGGGGAUGAAGGCCUUCGGGUUGUAAACUUCUUUUGCUCUGAACAAGGCAUGCCUUUGGGGUGUGUUGAGUGUAGGGGUUGAUUAGCGCCGGCUAACUACGUGCCAGCAGCCGCGGUAAUACGUAGGGCGCGAGCGUUGUCCGGAAUUAUUGGGCGUAAAGGGCUUGUAGGUGGCUGGUUGCGUCUGUCGUGAAAGCUCAUGGCUUAACUGUGGGUUUGCGGUGGGUACGGGCUGGCUUGAGUGCAGUAGGGGAGGCUGGAAUUCCUGGUGUAGCGGUGGAAUGCGCAGAUAUCAGGAGGAAUACCGGUGGCGAAGGCGGGUCUCUGGGCUGUUACUGACGCUGAGGAGCGAAAGCGUGGGGAGCGAACAGG